UGGCGACGUAUUAACCGUCGAUAACCAGCUGAAGCAGCUCAAGCUCAAGUUCUCGAGUGGAACGAGGUUGACCGUGCGCAGUGGCAGCCGUUGACAACAAAAACAAUGUAUGCACUCAGCUUCGCCGGAUGAGUGCCGGCGUCGAUCGCGAACCGCCAGAGCCGCCAAAUACCUCUCGUACAUCUCCAAGAACACCAAGAACAGGAGGUAUUCAUAAAGGUCUGAACCACGCGAGGAUCGUCUCGAAGCAUGGUAGCCUCAACAGACGCUUGCCGCCACACGCGAGGAGAAAGCAGGAGGCCCGAAGUUUGAAUGUGAAGUUUUCAGAGGAGGUGCGAAGAGCUGGCCCUCACUUUUUCAAGGCAGCCGCAGAACACUACGAGCCCCGAAUCACUGCCGCGGCUGACUCACGCGGAUGCUGUGCUGCACCCUGCACUGCACAUGGUUCGAAGCACACUUCAGGGGACCAGUGCAUGCCCCUGAUGCAUCGUCGCGGUAUGUUUUGUACUGCUUUUCCUAGCGGUGCACUGAGCAGUCCAAUCUUGAAGGGAGCACGCGAGUGCGUAGCCAGUGCUCCAUGCAGCGAGGACCGCAAGCACCCGCGGAAGCUUGGAGCACACGCAGUGACGCCAGCAGCCGUGCACGCUGGCGUCGUCUGCUACUGUACCGUCCUUUCGUUCGGUGCGCAGAAAAAAAAAGGAGUGACCGCUCUGUUAAAAGUCUGAUGGUGAAGGCAUCCUUUACAGAAGCACUGUAUGGCUCUCUGCACGCUAGAAUGGGGGCUGUCGUUGAUGCUCGCAGAGGCGUCGCCCACAACUAAGCAGACGACCAAAGUCCUGAGCAGGUCCCGGGGAUCAUGGCAUCGAUGAGCUCGCUUUCGCCUUGUCCAAGGUAGCAGCGGAACACUACGGGCAGGCCCGGAGUCACCGCACCGGCUGGCUCACGGGCGUCGUCCUGUACUCUGCACGGCACUGCGUGUGGCUUAACCAGCCAAGCAGAGGGUCACUGCAUGACCUUUAUGAGGCGUCGCUAGCCAUUGUAAGUAUAUUUUGGACGCUCGUGUCAGGGGAUGUACUUUUGUGUUCUACAACAGAACAUGUUUGGUGGCGGUUCAGUCUUGCCAAUUCAGCCAUUUCGAAACAUAAUUUUGUGGCGACUUGGCUUAGGUUUUCUGGCUCGGCCGUCUUUUGCACCAGUGUCUAGGCUCGGCGUAAGCCUCUUAGUUCUUUAUUGUCAAGGCUAGUGUAAUUUCUGCUACGCCGUCGAAGCAACUUCUGCAUGCGAACAAGAUGCAAGACGAAGCUACAUGCUCGUGCACAGUGCAUGACCACAUGUGAAAACUAAUAGAGAGUUUGUUUCGCUGGAAUCGUGCCCAUGCGCACCCACUUGCAACAUGAAGUGAGUUUGUUUCGCCGCCGGCACUCCACACGUGCAUGCGCUCGCUGCGCCCUGAGAAUUAAGUGUGUACCUGAAUGCACUCCCGUCAUGCAUCACUUAGGCAGGGAACAAGAGCAGAUGACUGGUUUGUCCACCAUGCGGGACAGUAGAACUGCAGAAAAAGUGAACUUUCUGCUAAAAAAAUGACGUCCCACGAGCAACAAAAUCGGACACGAGCUUGAAUUGUGUGUCUGCUAUUCUAUAAAGCAAGCAAUCCACAACCUGUACUUAACUUGCAAGUUUUCAGUCAUUUUGUUGCUGUACAGACGUCCAUAUACACCGGUGGAUAAAGAAAGGUUCAGAACGAACAUCAGCCACCGCGAGAUAUCUCUCACCAUCCGUGCGGGGCUAAAGAGUUGGGACGUUAGUUGACAAAGCUUGCCCGGCAGAAACCUGCGACGCGUCCAGUCGGGAGCCGAGAAAGCUAAACUGUUUUUACCCGAGGCUUGGAUAAAAUCACAGUGUUUAAAAAGGAGCCAUGGAAUUUAUUUUGGGUGGGAUAAAUUAAUUUAGAUUCGUAUUUUGCUAAUACAGUUGAACCUUUCAAGAACGAAAUUCUCGCGGCAACGAAGAAAUCUGGCGGCCCCAGCGAACGUCCAUAGGGUUCAAUGCAUUUGCACCCUCUCAACAGCAAAGAGUUUUAAAAAGCAGUCCCGCAUUAACGAAAGUUUGAGGUAGUGAUCUGCCAUAGAGUUAUUCAAUGUGUCUACCAAGUUGGCAUUUUCAAAUUCCCUGAGUUUUUCAGGUUUCCUCUGAGUACUUUUGUGAAAUUCCCUGAGUGACACAGAACUUUGUUUUAGGUCAAGAUGGGCGGACACCAUGUCGCCACAUGCUGUCACUCUCUAAAAAGCAUGUCAUAAAAUAAAAUAACAACACAAUACAGUUUUGAUGAUAGCGAGUAACUUUUAUUAGAUUUAAAAAGAAAACAGAACGAAGUGGUUAGUAAAAUUGAUAGCGAAUAAAGUAUAAAAAAAGGUAAACUGAGGUUUACGUGACCCCCCCAGGUCUGGUCAUGUGACCUCGGGGGGGGGGUGUCGAGACCUGACGGCGACGCCGCUCAUGCCGGAAACGGGAGCAAUAACAGGGAAAGGAAAGGGUAAACAAACAUAAGGCGUUCAAAGUGCGAUUGCUCAACCCUUGUUGUCAAAACACUCCACCUAACAAAAUCUUUUUUUUUUCUUUUUUUUUUUUAUUUUGGGGCUAAGGAGUCGCACAGUGACAGCGGUGUUUGCACGCGACCGUUCCAACAGCGGGCACUCCCUGCCCUCCCCACGCGCGCAGGUGCCCUUCCCCUUGCUUUUGCCAUCCUCCCCUUCUUUUGUUUUUAUUGGUUGCUUUUUUUAUUUUUUAUACAAUUGCUUUUUCGCUGCGCAUCCCCGCGUGCGCGUAUGCUGGGUUGGCGGUCUGCCAGCCUUGCAACCCGAGCUGUGUGCUCCCUGCCGGCGCAAUCCAACCUAUAGGGAGAAGCGAAGAACGGCCUUCGUUCGCUACAUCGAGUGUCCCCUCCAUGGGAGUUAUGGACAUUCGAUACAGAAAAACAAUGCAAUUUUCUAGGGGAUGUUUGGACUGUUUCAUAUAAACAAUAAUUCGAAAUACGGGUGUGAUAUAACCGGGUUCGACAGUAUGUUUGGCCGUCUCCCUUAAUUUCCAGAUACCUUCGUUCGUUUGGCACGUAUAUCCCCGAUGCUAGAAAGCGCCGACGUUGUGUUCGCGCUGAGAGUGUCCGACAGUGCACAUAAAUACACGUGCGAAGCCGUUUUUGCACCGUUUUUUUUUCCCCAUAGAAAUGCAUUACCGGAAGUCAAUUUUCGACUGGUUGCUGUCUGCUUCAACUUGCGUCGGCACACUAGCACCACUUGAACCUCUAGCGUACAUUACAAUAACCCUACGCGAUCUGCAACAUUUUUUCGUCAAAUGAGCCAGUUUGGAACCGAGAAUUGUGAAAAAUGGAGCAGUACACUCGUCCGACAAGUUGGGCACAUACGUUUCCGACAAGCAUCGGCGCGGCCAUUGCUGUUUACAUUCGGUCAAAUAAUGAUGACAAUGGCAACUAGAUGCUUUUUUUUGGGGGUUGGUGAAAACAGCGUUUUGCUAGCCCAUCUGUUGGCAACUACCUAGGUACGUGACGACACCGCCUGCUGCUAUUUCGCCGUCCGCCGCGUGCACGCCGAGAUCGCUCGCGCCUUGUUUACUACCUUUCGUUUGGCCUGUCGGAAAGAUGCCGCCUCCCAUUAAAAAGUUUAAGUUUUUUGCACUUCAGGAGAACUCUGCGAUCACUGCCAAAGCCAGAAAGAAGUCUGAUAUUACAGAGGAGUUCAGUAUCCUUUGCUUCUCGCUUUCUACGAUUCUGAAAUCCAAGGACAGCAUCAUGAAAAGUAAUAGGUGUGCUUAGUUGUCCAUUUCUGCAGCAGCGAAAUUCUUGCGAGAACGAAAAACGUUUCCUUCCCCCGCGGUUUGGUUAUUACGGGUGUGAUGAUGUGACUUAAUGUGGAAAAGAAGUGCAAGUCAACCCAUGGAUCGGCCUGGAGGGAGAAACGAAGAAGAGAGAUUUUGGAGUGCGUGCUCAGAGGGCGUGAAAAGGACUGGCCGGGAGAUUGUGCAGAGAGCGGAACGACACGAUCGGCCAGGGCAAUCGGCGGCCUCCUACUGUCUGACCAGCAGCCUGUUCCAGCGAGGGCAGCGAAUAGAAACCUACGCUGCCCCCGGCUUCCUACAGCGGGAGCGCUUGGUGCGGUAACUCUGGGGCCGCCGACGGAAGCCAACCGCUCCCGCUCCUGACUUCCAGCCACAACCGUGGGCCGACAACGACAGCACAAGACACACUGCUGCACAGGGACUCAAAGACAUGGUGACUGAUGCGUUUUCCUUUCUUUAACUAAGUUUUCUUUUUUUUGUAUAAGCAUAUGAACCCUUUGAUUUUUUUUUGUAAAUACAAGUUUUCAUGAAAAACGAAGGACA
rnacentral:misc_RNA from 1 species